UCAACUUAGAAGACCAGACACAGAAGACCAGCACUCCCCCUCCCGUCCUUCAGUUGAAUUGGGCAAACUUGGAUUCGCAACAAUGAUGAAACGCAAAUCCUGAAAAGGACAAUUUGAUUUUCGAUAAACAUGCUCGGGUAAUUAUUGAUUCUUUUCAUGGAACGCUCUACCUAAUCUAGGAGUUUGAUGUACUGCAUUAAGCCGCCCAUCAGACAGCAGCUAACCAAGGGAAACAGUAGCAGUGAUGCUGGCUAUGAAUGUACCGAGAUGUAGGGAAGGAGUGGCCUCCUCGUCCCCUUUGUUCCACACCUUUCUGGCGCGUUGACUUGUCAGAUGAAGUUCCACUAUCUGGCUUGACUGAUUUCAACACAUAUGGUUUUCGCGAUCACGGGCCGUUGUGUGGGCCUGACUAGGUGUUUGCUGCCGUGAUCCAAUCGAUCGACUGAGGACUCACUGUCUCCUAGUUGGCUUUGGAACGAUCCUUGUGACAGAUAGGAAUAUAUGAUGGAGACAGGUGCUAGCACAUUCUUGAAGAUUGUGCCAGCCCAAAUUGUUGCUCUCGUUAUAUCUACGAAGACGAAACAGAUAGAGGACGCAUUGUGGCGGUGAACACAUACUCUUGAUGUCUUGAAAGUAUCAAAGGACAACUGAGGACCGAAGUCGACUUUGCUCUACGUCAAACAAUAGCACAACUACAAAGAACGAAACUACCGUUAUAUUCCAAGCAUUCACGGAAUGAAUUAUUUACGCCCAUCGGCAGUCUGACACGUUUUACCAGUCUCAAAGAAUACUUUCUCAAAGCGUUCAACUCGGCUUAUUCUCAGAAGAUAUCCUUUUCCUGCAAGAGUAUAACCAUUGGACAACAUUGUAUGACAAGUUAUACUGAGUAAUGUUUCUCCCAGGGAAGAUAUUGAUCGAAAUGAGAGUCAUUACGCUCCCUAAUGUUGUCUUGAGUAAAUGAACCUGCAAUGAUACUAUUAACCUAUCAUAAUCACAUUAUCACACCACAACAAAGUGUCGGUCACCGCUUGAAUUCACUGCCUGCAAUCAGACAACUGCAACUUCGUUAAGGAGUCACCACAAAAGGUCAAGACAGAAUCUGUUGGGUCCUUGCUUUCAGAUGUUCACGGAAGUUAUAGUCUGUUUCUAAUGUGUAUACCCGACAUAAGCGGAAGCACACGCGUGUAGAAGAAGACAUACUCGAGUGUUUAUUUGUUGUUAAAUUCAACAAGAAAAGUAUUCGAUAAGAAUACUUAAUUUUUUUUCUCUUGCCUGCUCCUAUUAAAUCUGUUCCAAUGAAGAUGACAAACAACACCGGUGUGUCAGUACUCCUGGCAUCAAUGUUUCCGAACUGUGUGACUGCACUAAACAAUAAUCAAAACAAGGAUCAAGAGGAGAACGUCACCAAACCCGGCACGGAAAAUUCGGAUAAUGGCGCAGUGAUCUAUAUAGUUGCAGUGUUAAUGUUUUAUUCCUUUGGGGUGGUUGUGAUGAUAGUGCAGUACCUCAGGACGGAGAAGAAGGAGCUGGAGGAGGAGGUAAACCUUGAAACCUUCUUCAAAGGAAUGCCAGACAAAAGACUCGAGAGGGAACACCAUGUGAACAAGGUAGCAAUACGAGCCUUCCAUACAUUGACUUCAAUAUCCUACGAGGACAGUGAUGAUGAUACAUCUCCAAGGACGGUACUUGUAACUGAUCUGUGACCAUCUUUGAGGACGAUUGGGGCUUGGUCAAGGUCUUGAAACAAAUAAAAUGGACAUGUUUCGAAAAGAGGACAACGAAAGGUCAGCCUACUGAACCUGAACCUGAAGCUUACAGGAUGGGUAAGGCAUCAUGGACAGGUGCCAGAUGUCUGUGUUACCUAGCAGAGCCAUGUGACUGAUGGAGUAUUAGGGCAUCUGUGGAUCCUGUUCAUCGAUAUUUUCCUUACACACAUUCGUGUGUAUGUCAAACUCAUUUUGUGAUAUGGUUGAUGUCUUAUAGUUCUUAGACCUGAAAUUGACUCCUUAAGUUAUAGUGCUUUGCCUUUGUGUUUUUGCUGACACUUAGAAGUAAAAGUUCUUUAUAGAAACU